AGAAUAUUUUGUGGAACUGUAACAACAUUCAAACAUGGAAUUUGGGGUAGCCCAGAAGUACAGAUUCACAUCCCCUUGAGGCCUAGCUUCUGAGAGACCAGGAGCUGGUGACUUCCCACGGGGAGCUAAGGAGUUAAAGGGCGCAGUUCUCCUUCUGCUUCAAGGUUGAAGUCUUUCCAGUCCUAGUCGCACACUGAUAUGGAUGGAAUGAAGACACCCUGUGCUAGAUGAAAGGGCUAAAAUCAAACAGAAAGGCGGCUUCAAGGCGAC